ACCACAGCGUCACGUAUCUAUUGACGUGAAAAGGGGGGCGUUCUAGAAUGGAACAGCCUGCCUAACUUCUGUUCUUGUUCUGUUUCCACCACAGGAAGGCUGAGGUGUGGGAAGACCUUCCCAGGGACUCCCUGUAGGAAUCUCACCGAUGCAGACGAAUCCCGUGGAGCUGAGCUUGCUGCCGGGCGAACACUCACAAUGGAAGGAGCCGAGGGAUCUACAAGGCCUGAAGUGAAUGGGGAACGAAGACAUGUGGUCUACAGCGUAGAUGCACAUCUACAUGACUAAAGACUCGGUAGGACCAUCAGGAACAGCCUAUUUGGAAAAGGGUUCA